GUUAAGUGUGAUGUCAGGACUGUGAAGAUUCUGAGCUGGGGAGAGGUGACAGAUACGAUCUAACUUCCAUUUUGAGAUGAUUACACAGGCUUCCAGGUGAAGAUGAGAUUCGAGAUGAGUGAAUUAGAGUUUGGAACACAUGCCUUAGUCUGGAUAUCCUGGAACAAUUUGAACUGGAGCUCCUAACCUGACAGGAUAGAAGAAAUUAGCCUUCAGAUGAAGAUAUAGAACUCUCAGCUUCUCCAGCAUCAUGCCUGCCUAGUUGCUGCUAUGCUCCCCCCUUGAUGAUAAUGGACUUCUAAGCUAGCCUCAAUUAAAUGUUGUCCUUACAAGA